rnacentral:rRNA from 1 species
GAUGAACGCUAGCGGCAGGCCUAACACAUGCAAGUCGAGGGGUAGCAGGAUUAAGCUUGCUUAAUUGCUGACGACCGGCGCACGGGUGCGUAACGCGUAUGCAACCUACCUUAUACUGGGGUAUAGCCCGGAGAAAUUCGGAUUAAUCCCCCAUAGUACUAAUGAAUCGCAUGGUUUAUUAGUUAAAGCAUUGCGGUAUAAGAUGGGCAUGCGUCCUAUUAGCUAGAUGGUGAGGUAACGGCUCACCAUGGCUACGAUAGGUAGGGGGCCUGAGAGGGUGGUACCCCACACUGGUAAUGAGGCACGGACCAGACUCCUACGGGAGGCAGCAGUGAGGAAUAUUGGUCAAUGGGCGCAAGCCUGAACCAGCCAUGCCGCGUGCAGGAAGAAUGCCCUAUGGGUUGUAAACUGCUUUUAUUUGGGAAUAAACCUCUUUACGUGUAGAGAGCUGAAGGUACCAAAUGAAUAAGCACCGGCUAACUCCGUGCCAGCCGCCGCAGUAA